ensembl:lncRNA
GUUUGAGUAAACUAGAUCUGAAUUAGAUAUAAAAAGCUCUUCUGUACGUUUAGUCAAAAUCUUAUGAAGUGCCAGACUAAAGUUUGUGUGUUUGGUGCUGCUUUAAGGGCUCAUCUUUAUGCCUGUGUUUAGAGAAAAGAGCCUCUGGAGUCACUGUCCCACAGAACUCUAUGGAAGCACAUUCAUUAAAUUAAAUAUUAAAACAUGUUUCAGUGCAGAUAGUUUUGUUGUUUCCACAUAAAUGCUUGUUAUUAAGAGACCAAACUGAUAAAAAAAAAAAAUAGAAAAAAUGAGUUUUCUGUGUCUCCUCUUACUUUAAUGUUCACCACUGCUUCACUAGUGCAUUCUGCAGAAGUAAGUCUACUCAAGCAUUAUUCUAAGUGUUUAUACUUUUAAAGUCCAACACGAUCUUUUAAACUCCUCCAGUUCAGACAGAGUUUAAGGCUGCUGCUCCUCGCUCUCUCAUGUCCCUCAUGUCUCAGACAUAGCCGUGAGAUCUCCCUGUCUCCUGUGAAGAUGACGAGCAGCACUUAUAUUCAAGUAUUUAAUGAGGCUCGACUCAUGUUGAGAAUUGUCUAAUCACACAGAGAGAUCCAAACCCAAACUAUUAGGGGACAUGUGUCUACAGGGAUGUGCACAGACGGGCCCAGGUGCUGCUCCAGCCCCUCAGUCUCUCGUGGUCAACAUAUUUUUAGGUUUAAUAUUUGCCCAAAAAAGAGAGCAAAUGUAUAAAAGACCUUUAGACACUGAAAUAUGGCCUGCUCCCUCCCGCUGUCCUGCCUCUCGCUCAUGUCCCGUCUACCACACAGCACCAAAUCAACUAAAGGACAGUUUCUAGUCCAGAAACAUGCUCAACUUUUAGUCAGUUUUCUUAUCCACGAUGUUGUGAGCAAAACAGCAGAUGCAAUAAAACCGCUAUGAUUUAAAACAUGUCUGUGCACGAGAGACACUAUCGUCUGGAGCGUGUUUCCAGCUCAGUUUGAGGCUGUGCACAGUGCAGAGGCGGAGCCAGGGAAGGGUGGAGCCAGAGGGGGCGGGGACAGAGGGUGGAGCCAGAGGGGGCGGGGACAG